rnacentral:lncRNA from 1 species
AAGGACAAGGUUAUACAUAGUCAGGAAGUGUGUGCUCAUGUUGUUGAGUUGGGACACGUACGGAGAGCAAUAGAGAGAUGUUUGUAAGCCCAUAGGCAAAUGCAUUACCGUUGUUCAUAAGGUUUGUACUCACUAGACUGUGACAGACAUAGUAAGCCAAAAGAGUGGCUUAGAAGAAGAUGCAGGAUCAGACUUAGGGUUUCGCCUUUUUUAC